rnacentral:rRNA from 1 species
GACGAACGCUGGCGGCGUGCUUAACACAUGCAAGUCGAACGGUGAUCCUGCUUCGGUGGGUGAUCAGUGGCGAACGGGUGAGUAACACGUGGGCAACCUGCCUUCAGCUCUGGGAUAACUCCAAGAAAUUGGGGCUAAUACUGGAUAUUUCCGCUGGCCGCAUGGUCUGGUGGUGGAAAGAUUUAUCGGCUGGGGAUGGGCCCGCGGCCUAUCAGCUUGUUGGNGGGGUAGUGGCCUACCAAGGCGACGACGGGUAGCCGGCCUGAGAGGGUGACCGGCCACACUGGGACUGAGACACGGCCCAGACUCCUACGGGAGGCAGCAGUGGGGAAUAUUGCGCAAUGGGCGAAAGCCUGACGCAGCGACGCCGCGU